AAGCAUUCCCAAGACUUUUUACGCAGACCGAAACGUCUUACCGCUGUAACCGCGGAUAGUCGCCAUGUCCCUUGGAGCUCCGUUUGUGACGAAGAGUUGUUGUGAAUUGUACGAAGAUCGUUUACAACGUCGAACUGCAGGGCCAAAGUUAAGGUGUGGUGACUGCAGGGACCGGCGAUGGUUCAUAAAUGAAGGGCGGUGGUGAGGGGCACCCUCAUGCGAGGCAAUAUGAGCUUCCUUCUCUGUGAUCAACGCUGGUUCAAAAUCACUUGACCUGGCUGCUUGUGAAACUAGAAACAGCUCGCUGCUUGUGUGUUCUGGUCUCCGGUGGCUCAUCUGCUUAUCAGUCAACAGAAAGGUAGAAUUUUGUCUAACUUCCAGCAAAGGCACCUGGAGACACUCGGGCUCAGGGAUGCUGCUGUCCCGGUCCUCUGGUGCAAAUGAAGUGUUGCUGUGUGGAAAAACACUGGCUUAUUACCUCUGCUGCCACUGCUGUGCUGAAUGAAGAUGCUUUUACCAGAGUAAACACACAGUCCAGUAGGACCAAAUGUGGCUAUCAGCAUGCAUCACAAGAGUUCUUACCACAUGCCUGCGUCAUGUCAGCGCACUGCAAGUCUCAGCAGACUUCCAGCCGAGCAAAUGGUGAUUAAGUUGGAAGGGCACUGCAUUAUUUCGAAGACGCAUGCUUCACCCACAAAGUGGGGGUUCAUCUGCACUCAAGGGCCCGCCGGUGAUGCCCCAACACAAUGAUGUCAGCUGCUCACCGGAGGGAAAGCAGAGGGUGGUCACGCAUCGCAACAGCAAGGCUAGCCCCAAAGAGAUUGACUUAAUUGAAACCAAUUACUUUGAUGAGUUGCUGUAGUUAGUAAUCUUUUAUGUUUCAUUAGCACAUUACUCUGACAUUUAGCUAAUGAGAAUAGGGAAGCACAAACAAAAGUAAUUUGUCCCUGACGCGUCGAACCAAGAGACGAGAGAAGUGUGGAAUAGUUCCCUACUGGUGACUGGUCUCACAAGUGAUAUAUUUUAAACCCAAAUCUUUGCGCUUGAUAGUGCGUCAGAGUGAUCAACCAGCACAUCUCCGAAGAACUCCUGUUGCGUUCACUUCGUUCAGUGUGAGAGAAUUAAAAGGCAAUGAGUGUGAGAGGACAAGUCAUUGUUUCUUCUCUCUGACAAGGUGUAUGCUCACAAUGCUGUGAGCAUUUGACAGUUCCUGGCCAAGGCACAUGUUGCCAUACUACAGAGGAACAUCACGGCUCACUCAAAAUUCUUCGUACAGUUUCUCAUUAAACAAUGAAACCAUCUUACUUGACCCAUGAUGGACCCCAAACUUAAAGUUUACCUAAAUGCUGACUUAACUGUUCUAAAUGAAGAACACUUCAUCUUGCGCAUCUGGACCUGAAUGUCUCUUGUUCUUUGUUCUUCUUAAUUUAUUUGUUCUAUGUUCUGAAUGUCAUACCAGGGCGGCACCGACUACCGGAGACAAAUUCCUUGUGUGUUGUUACACGCUUGGCCAAUAAAGCUGAUUCUGAUUCUGAACACGCACCCUAACAUUGGAUUUAGGUCUGUCAUGGGGCUCCACUCCCACCAUAGCCACCAUGUGCUUUAUACAAAGAUCGUGAUUCAUAAUGCCGAUUAAAUUUACUCAAAAAGAUUUUCAGAUAAACUCCCAAUCUUAAAACCAAGAGGGACACAUCAACAUAAGUUUUGUCACGCAAUUUUUCCUCUCUGCGAUCAGGAUGUGUGGCCAGCGUGCAGCAUGACGUGGGUGGCGAAAAGUAAGCAUCAUGUUUGUCAUUUAGACAAUAUUGUAGCAUCGUAAGCGCCAAUCUGUCAGUUCGUUCUAUUGUUUUAACGCCUCAUCACACAGUGACAGCGAACCAUAAUUGCGGACCACGCUUUGUGUUUUGAUGCAGCUGACAAAUCUGACAGUCCGUGCAGCUGCCGUCAGUCACAAAGCCACCGACAUUGUCUAAGUUUAUUGGGCUACACACAUUCAAAGACACCUGAGCUGCAGCAAAAAACAAAACAAAACAAAACAAAAACCACAGACAUCUUUAAUUAUCACUUGAAAGAUGUGUUGCAGGAAGCACCAGCCCACAUAAAACUGAAGGUCGCCUGUGAAGUAUGUCUUAAAAUCUUCGCGCUCAUCUUAUUGUCCAUUUAAACUUUUGGGAAAUCAACUUUAUUGUCCGUACAAGAACAAAUGGAGCCAUACAGACCAUGGUUCGCAGGAUUUGUAAAGAUUUUCCUUCAGUGCUCAAAUGAUUGUCAGAGCACAGACUGGUUUUGGAUGACAACCGACACAUAAUUGUCAAAAUAGCUGAGAACAAGACAUUUUGUUUUAUAUCGAUAUAUUGUACACAGUAGAGUGCACUCAGUCACAGCAACGCCUUCUCUGCUGUCCUAAGCACAGCCAUGAGAAGUACUGACUUACAUUUUCAAGUUACGUAAAACUAUAGUACUUUAUGGUGACACGGUGAUCACUUGUUAGAGCAUCUGCCUCACAGUUCUGAGGACUGGGAUUCGGAUCCCAACCCCGCCUGUGUAGAGUUGUACGUGGUCCCCAUGCCUGGGUCCUGAGUUGAGGUCAGCAAUGCCCCAUCCUCACUAUACACAGUGUUGACGAUGCACUGCUUUUCCCUCCUGAGACCACAAUUUCCUCAAAGCUGUCUUGAAGUCGUUCUCUAUGACCUCACCGAACUCCUCCCAUGCUUGUGUUUUUGGCUCAGCGACCACCAAAGCUGCAUUUCGCUUAGCCAGCUGGUACCUACCAGCGGCCUUGGGAGUCCCACAGUCCAGGAAAGUCCGACAAGGCUCCUUCAGCUUGACGGCAUCCCCCACUGUUGGUGUCCACCAAUGUGUUCAGGGGUUGCCGCCAAGACAGCCACCGACCACCUUACAGCCACAGCAAUAGAGGCGCAAAACAUCAAGAUCAUCUCAAGUUUUUUUUUUAAAUAAAUAAAUAUUGUAAAAUAAUACAUUUGUUCUUCAGUCAAACUGUUAGCAUCAGUCUCAUCAAUGUUGAUGAUCAGCUGCUUUUACUCAAACUCUCAGGGAUCAUUUCUCAUGGUUAAAGCACAAUCACGCAAACUUUUCCUCAUUUUCAGUCCAAGCUGAUUCAAUGAGCAGAGGUCACAAGUCACAUCGAUGUUUUUAUUGCUUUGCAAUUUUUUUUUUC